rnacentral:lncRNA from 1 species
GUAAGAAAGUAUUUAAUUUUCAUAUCUGAUAUAAAACAAAUGAAACAACUGAAUUUGAUGGGAUACUGCUGUUAAUAAUAUAUGUACCAAUACUAUUUUGUUAAAUGGAAGACAAUAGAUGUGUCAAUACUUGUAUUAGGCAAGCAGGGAAUAUACGAAUGUGCCCUGUUGUAUACCAUUUUGUUGGCUACUAAAUAUCAGAAGACAGAUUAUGCAAUUAAAAAAAUAGGAUACAUAUUUACCAAACAUGGCUUCGUUUUUUUU